rnacentral:snRNA from 1 species
AAUGCAGCCCCAAUCGGGC